GCCAUCAAUAUUGCAGUGAGAUGCAAGGUGCCAAUUCAAGUCAACAAGUACCUGGCAUACAGUGAUGGGAUGAGAGUUAUUGAAUCUGGAAAGCUAACACAUUCUCCCUGCUUCAGAUGGUUUGUUAUUUACUGAACAAGAUCGGCCUACUGGUCAGCUUUGUCUUGACACCAAGGAGUUUAAUCUUGUCCGCAACAUGAUUACAGCAGCCGUUGAGGAACGUUACCAAGAUGCAGCUCAAUGGAG
rnacentral:misc_RNA from 1 species